CAAAUCACAAUACAAAUUUAUAAUAAUAUCGUUAUGGCAAGUUACAUAAUCUUAAUAGCGUCAUCAUAUAAUUGCAUAUAAUCUUGUUUGGUGAUUCAUGUUUGAAAGAUUCAAGGUUCAAGGCAAGCUCACUGGAUAAAUACAUCGGAAAAAAUUUAUUUCAUUCAGUUGAUGCAGGCCGCUUGAACGUUUCCGUGUCAAUUUCAUUCGUUAUUCUUAGUUUGUGAAGAUCUUGUUCAGUGAUAGAAAUCAGUUAUUAUAAGUAAAAAUUAAUGAAAACAAUAGUGUCACUUUGCAACGGCGUACUUAAUAUUUGCCUGGGGAAUUAAAAUCCAACACGAAGGACGGAAUUCUACAUUGAUGUACUCACUAAUUUUUAUUAAAACGCACGUUCAUUUCGCAUGCAUGGAAGAAAUCUGCGUAAGAAAGUGUUGGAGUUAAGGAAAUAUAAAGGAACAUAUUUGGAUCUUAUAUUGAGAACAUUCAAGAACUACCGUUGUUUCGUCGAAAAGGUUACAAAUACGUCCAUUAUAGUAAUAAAAUUAUAAAACAAAGCCAUACAGGCAAUAAUUGGCACACAGCAUAAUCCAGGAACGCUGGUUCGGCCGAAGAAAUCUGAACGUUCUCGAACGAUACCGUCGGCACGUGUUAAGGAUCUAAUCAAGGAUCAUAUCGUUAUAAGUAAUUUUUUUCAAAUUUUUUCAUAUUAUAUUAUUAUAUUUUAUGUUAUCAAACUGCUAAG